UCUGCAGUGGAACUCAA
rnacentral:misc_RNA from 1 species